rnacentral:rRNA from 1 species
AUUGAACGCUGGCGGCAGGCCUAACACAUGCAAGUCGAACGAGUGGCGGACGGGUGAGUAAUGUCUGGGAAACUGCCCGAUGGAGGGGGAUAACUACUGGAAACGGUAGCUAAUACCGCAUACCAUCGGAUGUGCCCAGAUGGGAUUAGCUAGUAGGUGGGGUAACGGCUCACCUAGGCGACGAUCCCUAGCUGGUCUGAGAGGGUGACCGGCAACACUGGGACUGAGACACGGUCCAGACUCCUACGGGAGACAGCAGUGGGGAAUAUUGCGCAAGGGGCGCAAGCCUGAUGCAGCCAUGCCGCGUGUAUGAAGAAGGCCUUCGGGUUGUAAAGCACUGUCAGCGGGGAUGCGUUACCCGCAGAAGAAGCACCGGCUAACUCCGUGCCAGCAGCCGCGGUAAUAC